CCAUUACAAACAACAACAGCAUCAUAAAUCUCAUCACGAAGAACUUUCUUCUCUUUCUCCGUAGAUUCAAUUCUCCAUUUCCCGCUUCCUUCUUCCGCCGCCGGAGCAACCUUCACAACCGCCGUAUCAAACCGAAUCAUCUCCUCAAUCGCAAACUCCUUAGCGAAAUCUUGCAAAUACGCCAAAACUUCACCAUGACUCGGAAACCUCCUCGGAUCUCUAGAUUCCGAUACAUCGGAACGAAUCACGAACGGGAAGUCCCUGUAUCCCAUACACUCACGGGGGAGAUUAGUUCGGAGAGAUCCAUAGACGCUCGAAUGAACAACGGAUCGGGUCGGGUCAACGCUUAAUGGAUCGGGUUCAAUAUGAUCGGUGUAAAUCCAGGUUCCUCCGACUUGUUUUUGUCUCUCGAAGACGACCACCGAGUGACCUUCCCGACGAAGCUCUCGCGCCGCGACUAAUCCGGCGGCUCCGGCGCCGAUAACUGCCACGUGGUGUGAUCUGAUUGGUGAUAAGGAAGGCGCCAUUGGGUUUUUUUACGAGAUUCGUUAACGAUGGUGAAUAUACUACGGCCUCUUUAUAAAUAUGUGGCCCAAAAACUCAUGAACCACACACACCACGACACAAUGUUAAAAAAACAAAAACAAAUUCCUGAGAAAUUGUUUAAACG